UUUUUAAUCUUUUAUGCCAAAAAAAUUAAAAUUAAAAUUUAAAAAAAAGGAGUUCAAAUUUUUAACUCAAACUCUAAUCUUUUUGGCUGUACAAAUUAGGAAUUGCUUUGACAAUAGCUUUGAGUUAAGGAAUAUGAUAGCAGUUCUAGUUUGAGUUUUCGUCCCACCUAUCUUCUGCUAACAUAAUACAAGAUGAUUUAGCACCUACACGUAAGCACAUGAUAGUGGGGUAUGUAUACUUGCAACUAAUAUGAAUACUUUUAAUCUUCGGGAUAAUUUAAAGUUAUAUGUGUGAUGAACACCCUAAUCAAAAAAAAAAAGAGGAUAAAAUAAAAUAGUGAGUUUAUUUUAAGUCUUCUCACUGAGUAACCGAGCCUCUUGCCUAGCAAGCAGCGAGUGUUCGCGUAAAAAGGUAAGAAUAAUUGAGAUUAAACUUUAAGUGACUAAUUUGGCCUCGAAGCCUAGUUAACUUGAGUUAUUAAGCCCGUUAGGGUGUCUCUACACCUAGUGCCCUAAGCCAUCUGGAUCGGAAGUCAUUGGCCUAACACUCGCUACAUGGGUCA
rnacentral:lncRNA from 1 species